UACGUAGGGUGCAAGCGUUAAUCGGAAUUACUGGGCGUAAAGCGUGCGCAGGUGGUUUUGUAAGACCGACGUGAAAUCCCCGGGCUCAACCUGGGAACUGCGUUAGUGACUGCAAGACUAGAGUGUGGCAGAGGGGGGUGGAAUUCCACGUGUAGCAGUGAAAUGCGUAGAGAUGUGGAGGAACACCGAUGGCGAAGGCAGCCCCCUGGGCUAACACUGACACUCAUGCACGAAAGCGUGGGGAGCAAACAGG
rnacentral:rRNA from 1 species